GAUGAACGCUGGCGGCGUGCCUAAUACAUGCAAGUCGAGCGAACAGACGAGGAGCUUGCUCCUCUGACGUUAGCGGCGGACGGGUGAGUAACACGUGGAUAACCUACCUAUAAGACUGGGAUAACUUCGGGAAACCGGAGCUAAUACCGGAUAAUAUCUUGAACCGCAUGGUUCAAUAGUUAAAGACGGUUUUGCUGUCACUUAUAGAUGGAUCCGCGCCUCAUUAGCUAGUUGGUAAGGUAACGGCUUACCAAGGCAACGAUGCGUAGCCGACCUGAGAGGGUGAUCGGCCACACUGGAACUGAGACACGGUCCAGACUCCUACGGGAGGCAGCAGUAGGGAAUAUUCCGCAAUGGGCGAAAGCCUGACGGAGCAACGCCGCGUGAGUGAUGAAGGUCUUCGGAUCGUAAAACUCUGUUAUUAGGGAAGAACAAAUGUGUAAGUAACUAUGCACGUCUUGACGGUACCUAAUCAGAAAGCCACGGCUAACUACGUG
rnacentral:rRNA from 1 species